rnacentral:lncRNA from 1 species
UAAAUUAAGUUGAAUCUGAUCCAUCCUUCUCCUCUCCCACCUGAACAAAGCUAAAUACUUUCCUAUUUCAGACAGCUACUGAUCUUGUGGAUGUAGGAGGAAGUGCCUGGGAUCAUCCUUCAGCUUCUCAAAAUGAGAUUCAGGGCAAUCUGGGUACUGAGCAAGUCACCCAAAGUCAGAUUUGAAAAGUGAGACUGUCUUGGACAGUACCUAGGAGUGCCACAACCACCAAAAUACAGCACA